AGAUUGAACGCUGGCGGCAUGCCUUACACAUGCAAGUCGAACGGCAGCGCGGGGCAACCUGGCGGCGAGUGGCGAACGGGUGAGUAAUAUAUCGGAACGUGCCCUGGAGUGGGGGAUAACGCAGCGAAAGUUGCGCUAAUACCGCAUACGAUCUAAGGAUGAAAGUGGGGGAUUCGCAAGAACCUCAUGCUCCUGGAGCGGCCGAUAUCUGACUUAGCUAGUUGGUAGGGGUAAAGCCUACGAAGGCGAUGAUCGGUAGCGUGGUCUGAGAGGAU
rnacentral:rRNA from 1 species